rnacentral:tRNA from 1 species
AAAGAAUUAGUUAAAAAAUAACAUUAAAUUGUCAUUUUAAAAUUAUUAUAUAAUAAUACUCUUUC